rnacentral:lncRNA from 10 species
CUCCAUAGGGCAGGAAACACAUGGCAGCUGGGUUCAGCACAGCAAGCAAGAGAGAAUGUGUAAGAAAAUGCUAGCAAGAUGAGAGCCAUGGUGUUUUGGUAACCUGAAUACAGUUUGCCUUUUGUGUUUGUGGAUUCCUGUGUAUGGAUUUAAUCAACCACUAAUCAACAGUAGAGACUCCAAAAAGCGGUAAAGAAGAAGGGGGACAAGGACUAAAAACUACCUACUGGGUCGUAAUACCAGCAUUUUUAAUAUUACCGCUGGAAGGCUUAGAAGUGUGUCUUUGCAAUGACAAAAUACAUUGAGAAGCAAUUUACAUCCUAAAUAAUUGUGGCUGAAUGAAAAUGGAGAUUGACAAAAAGAUCUUAUCAGUUUUUCUGUUUUGGAAGUUGAGGAAGACGUGUUAUAUUCCUAUAUUAGAAGAUCUAUUUAUGCUGAUUAAUAUGAGCCAGAAGAGAAAAGGGAUGGAUGAUGCAGAAGACACAUAGAGAUCUGAUAAAGUGAAAAUUCUUACAGUGGCAAAAAGAUGGGUUUCAGUAUGCUUUUGUACAUUAGGGAACUCAUUUUCCUCUGGGUGGUUAAAAGAUUGCCAAGGAGAAUUUUAGCAUCGACAGUUUUAAAGGAAUCAAUUUUCAGCAACUCAAUUUUCAUGUGAACUUUUCUAAAGCGAUGUCGCUGAAAAAUUUAUCUAUACUCAGGAUACACUUUUUUGUUCCCAAAAGAAUGGCAUCAUUCAAAAUCUUAAUGUAGUGCAUUAUCCUGUGGUGGAUUACUUCUGGAGUAACAAAUAGCAAGGCUAUCUAACGAUAAUUCAAUAUUUCAGUCUAAAGUUUCUCAUUCUUCAUG